AAAUUGCAAAAGAUGAGUCCAUAGUUCAUUUGAUAAAGCUAUGAAGAACAAUUUUCGCCCCUAUCUGAUGCACAAG